rnacentral:lncRNA from 1 species
AGAUGUGGGGGUUCCAGGCCCUUUUGGGAAGUGCAGUGCUGCAAAGGAUUUAGUACAUCACUGAAGUCAAACAUGGCUACGAAUCAGAUUCACUGCAUGUGACAGAAGAUGAGUAAGCUAAGCUCUGUUUCGGUGCUCUUGGAUGAGGUGACAUCACUUAUAUACUAUCUGAACCAUCUGAAACGUCUCUAAUAAUGAUAAAAGCAUUUUAGGCUGGAAAAGAUCCUGAAGAUCAUUGGGUCCAGUCAUCCACCUAACUACCAAGUCCAGCACUUAACAGAAGGAGGAACCAGCAGACUGAAGUACCGUGACACACCAAAUGAACAAUCUGUAAGUGAAACUGCUCCCUGC